UACAGAGGGGGCAAGCGUUGUUCGGAAUUACUGGGCGUAAAGGGCGCGUAGGCGGCCUUCUAAGUCGAACGUGAAAUCCCCGGGCUCAACCCGGGAACUGCGUCCGAUACUGGAAGGCUUGAAUCCGGGAGAGGGAUGCGGAAUUCCAGGUGUAGCGGUGAAAUGCGUAGAUAUCUGGAGGAACACCGGUGGCGAAGGCGGGUCUCUGGGCCGAAACUGACGCUGAGGAGCGAAAGCGUGGGGAGCAAACAGG
rnacentral:rRNA from 1 species